GCGGGGGGGGGGGGGGGCAGCAGAACACUUUUCUUGAUGUUGAAGAACAGGAAAUUGAGGAAGAAUCUUUUCUAGGAUCCAGUUGGAAGCUGAGAAGCAGUCUAAAACACACGGGUAUUUAACAGCCCCGGACAGGAACAUAGCUGGAGCUUAGAGGGCUUGGCGAAAGGCUUCAUCUUCUCCAGUCUGCUUCCUGCUAAAGGCUCCAGCUACGACACUGAGGGUGUGAAACCUCUACACUGAGGUCCUCCAUCUUCACUCUUACAGCAAGAAUACUCAGGGAAGGAGCCGAAGGCAGGAAUAACUCAAGCCUUCCUCUGCAAAGUCGGGCAACCAACACACAGCUAGAGAGCUGAGUCUGACCUCAGAAACUGUGCUCCUGAAACUUUAACUUUGAUGGUACCUGGAGACUCCAAUACCCUGUAACCAGAUUUGUGCCCCCUUCCUGACACAUCCCCUUCUCGUCUCUGUGCCUGUUCCAAGGAGCCAUCUUGCCCUGUGACCUUUGAUUUCCACUGUGAACAGACACUCCUGAGCCCACACCCUUGUUCCUCAGCAAGCAGCCAACUUAAAUCGUGUGACAAAAUCAGUUUCCCAUGGUUCCCAGGAAGAAGCCAGAAGAGGGCACCAGACCUCAUUACAGAUGGUUGUGAACCACCAUGCGGUUGCUGGGAAUUGAACUCAGGACCUUUGGAAGAGCAGGCAGUGCUCUUAACCACCGAGCCAUCUUUCCAGCCCCAGCUGGAAGGAAUUUUAUUGCGUUCUCAGAAAACCCUGGCAGGUUCUGGAAGGUGAACAGUAUAUUCCCAAGGCUACCAAGCAAGGAAGAUAAGAUCAACCUAACCCAAGGAACUCCACGUCCCAACCCCUAACAUGGCCUCAGAUGGCUCCCCACCUCUCCUUGCCACACUUCUAUCACUUGCUCAGGGCUAAACAAAAAAGAAAAAAAAAAAUCCCUGGCUGGGGAAAUGGCUCAGUUGGUGAAGGGCUCGCCAUGCAAGCCUGAAAGCUUAAGUUUGAUCUCUAUAGUUCAGUUUUAAAAAGGCAAGUGUGGCACUGUGCCCUUGUGAUUCCAGCACUGAGGAGGCAGCCUAGUUCACCCGCAAAGCUCCAUUAUCUCUGUAACGCUGGGAAACAGACACGACUCCUGGGCACAGAUGCGAGCUUCUCAGCCCUCCGGUCCUCUCCCCAUCUUUUUAAGUUCUUCCCAGGAGAUGUACAAUGGCAGAGGAAGGCACUGGUGACGACAGAGGGUUUUGCUCAGAGUUCUCAAAGAGCUGCAGUCCCUCGUGUCCUGGGACCCCAUCACAAGGUUUUCCUCCACAUGCUGUCAAGUCGUGUACACACACAUGAUUUGGUAUCAAAAGGCCGCAUCUACUUUGAUUGUUAUAAGUGAUGACGUCAUUCCCCAGGAAAGUGUAUUCCCUUGUUUGACCAAUCCAGCCCUAGGAAGAUGAAUAACCAGAGUUUAUAUAAUUUCUCAUGUAUCAGGUUUUUUUUUUAUUUUCAUUGACGCAAUAAGAAUGAUGAAAUAUGCUUGUAGGAUUUGUAUUGAGCAAUAUAAUUGAAAAGAUUCCCAAUUGUUGGGACUAAUUGAGUCCUGGCCUUCAGCUGCUCUUCCCUGUCUAGCGCCUUCUAAUUGAAGUUAUUAGAAUCUGUGCCUAGCCUAGAGGAUCAGAGGAUGGGAUUUUCACCUGUUGGCC